CGACUCUCGGCAACGGAUAUCUCGGCUCUCGCAUCGAUGAAGAACGUAGCGAAAUGCGAUACUUGGUGUGAAUUGCAGAAUCCCGUGAACCAUCGAGUCUUUGAACGCAAGUUGCGCCCGAAGCCGUCAGGCCGAGGGCACGCCUGCCUGGGCGUCAAG
rnacentral:rRNA from 1 species